rnacentral:misc_RNA from 1 species
GGAAGAAGGAGCUUCAAGGUAUUUUGUUAAUGUUCUCCUCAACUAUCUUGUUCUCAUGGGACAAAUAAAUCGUGCUCGUUGUGUAUGGAAAGUUGCCUAUGAAAACAAGCUUUUCCCAAAGGCUAUAGUGUUUGAUCAACAUAUUGCCUGGUCCCUUGAUGUUAGAAACUUGUCAGUGGGAGCAGCUCUCGUUGCCGUGGUACAUACGCUUCAUAGGUUUAGGAAACGGAUGUUGUAUUAUGGUGUUGUCCCUAGGCGGAUCAAAUUGGUUACUGGACCAACUUUGAAAAUUGUGGUGGCACAGAUGUUAAGCUCCGUGGAAUCUCCCUUCGAGGUUAGUAAGGUUGUUUUGAGGGCCCCAGGAGAUGCGGUCCUGGAUUGGUUUAAGAAACCAAUUGUUCAGCAAUUUCUUUUGAAUGAGAUUCCAUCAAGGGCUGAUAUUUUAAUGCAUAAACUCAACAUACUUUUUCCAACAUCUGCACCUGAAAUCAGGUCGUUGUCCCCUCCUAAACCUAUUUUUGCUGGAAAAGCAAUGUAGUUGUUUCCCAUGUGUAAAAUGGCCUAGCUAGAGAUUUGAUUUCAGUUCUGCUGGUGCUAGAGAUACUUUUUCUAUGUCAAAGUUAGAGUGUCUUAUAGUGGAUUGGAAUUAUAGUCCAUUCUAAUAGAUAAAUAUUGCAUACAAGAUACAUGUUGUCUGUACUUUUGAUUCUUACAUCCGAAACUCA